UACGGGGGGGGCAAGCGUUGUUCGGAAUUACUGGGCGUAACGGGCGCGUAGGCGGCUUUUCAAGUCGGGCGUGAAAUCUCCGGGCUUAACCCGGAAGGGUCGUUCGAUACUGUUGAGCUAGAGUGUGGAAGAGGCAACUAGAAUUCCGUGUGUAGCGGUGAAAUGCGUAGAUAUACGGAGGAAUACCUGAGGCGAAGGGGGGUUGCUGGGCCAACACUGACGCUGAGGCGCGAAAGCCAGGGGAGCAAACGGG
rnacentral:rRNA from 1 species